rnacentral:rRNA from 1 species
ACCUGGGAAUGGCGCUGGAUACUGACGAGCUGGAGUGCGGUAGAGGAGGGUGGAAUUCCCGGUGUAGCGGUGAAAUGCGUAGAGAUCGGGAGGAACAUCAGUGGCGAAGGCGGCCCUCUGGACCAGCACUGACGCUGAGGCACGAAAGCGUGGGGAGCAAACAGGAUUAGAUACCCCGGUAGUCCACGCCCUAAACGAUGAGGGCUAGGUGUUGGUGGGAUUUCCCAUCUGUGCCGUAGCAAACGCGUUAAGCCCUCCGCCGGGGGACUAUGAGCGCAAGCUUAAAACUCAAAGGAAUUGACGGGGGCCCGCACAAGCAGCGGAGCGUGCGGUUCAAUUCGAUGCGACACGAAGAACCUUACCAGGGUUUGACAUGCAUGUGGUACUGAGGGGAAACCGGAGGGACCCG